UCCCUGGUGGCUCAGACGGUAAAGUGUCUGUCUACAAUGCAGGAGACCCAGGUUUGAUCCUUGGGUGGGGAA
rnacentral:tRNA from 1 species